rnacentral:rRNA from 1 species
AUUGAACGCUGGCGGCAUGCUUUACACAUGCAAGUCGAACGGCAGCGCGGGGCAACCUGGCGGCGAGUGGCGAACGGGUGAGUAAUACAUCGGAACGUACCCAGAAGUGGGGGAUAACGUAGCGAAAGUUACGCUAAUACCGCAUACGUUCUACGGAAGAAAGUGGGGGACCUUCGGGCCUCAUGCUUUUGGAGCGGCCGAUGUCUGAUUAGCUAGUUGGUGAGGUAAAGGCUCACCAAGGCGACGAUCAGUAGCUGGUCUGAGAGGACGACCAGCCACACUGGGACUGAGACACGGCCAAGACUCCUACGGGAGGCAGCAGUGGGGAAUUUUGGACAAUGGGCGCAAGCCUGAUCCAGCAAUGCCGCGUGAGUGAAGAAGGCCUUCGGGUUGUAAAGCUCUUUUGUCAGGGAAGAAACGGCUGAGGAUAAUACCUUCGGCUAAUGACGGUACCUGAAGAAUAAGCACCGGCUAACUACGUG